GGUCUUAUGGUGUAGUUGGUUAUCACGUCAGUCUAACAUUUGAGUGGCACUGAAGGUCGCCAGAUCGAGCCUGGCUAAGAUCA